CGUUGCCGGCAAGCUAACACAUGCAGUCGAACGGAUCCUUCGGGAUUAGUGGCAGACGGGUGAGUAACGCGUGGGAAGCUACCUUGUGGUAGGGAACAACAGUUGGAAACGACUGCUAAUACCCUAUGAGCCCUAUGGGGGAAAGAUUUAUCGCCAUGAGAUGUGCCCGCGUUAGAUUAGCUAGUUGGUAAGGUAAUGGCUUACCAAGGCGACGAUCUAUAGCUGGUCUGAGAGGAUGAUCAGCCACACUGGGACUGAGACACGGCCCAGACUCCUACGGGAGGCAGCAGUGGGGAAUAUUGGACAAUGGGGGCAACCCUGAUCCAGCCAUGCCGCGUGUGUGAUGACGGCCUUAGGGUUGUAAAGCACUUUCAGCAGUGAAGAUAAUGACAUUAACUGCAGAAGAAGCCCCGGCUAACUUCGUGCCAGCAGCCGCGGUAAUACGAAGGGGGCUAGCGUUGUUCGGAAUCACUGGGCGUAAAGCGUACGUAGGCGGACUGAUCAGUCAGGGGUGAAAUCCCGGGGCUCAACCCCGGAACUGCCUUUGAUACUGUCAGUCUUGAGAUCGAGAGAGGUGAGUGGAACUCCGAGUGUAGAGGUGAAAUUCGUAGAUAUUCGGAAGAACACCAGUGGCGAAGGCGGCUCACUGGCUCGAUACUGACGCUGAGGUACGAAAGCGUGGGGAGCAAACAGGAUUAGAUACCCUGGUAAGUCCACGCCGAUAAACGAUGAAUGCUAGAUUGUCAAGGUACCUUGCUAUUUGGGUGACGCAGCUAACGCAUUAAGCAUUCCCGCUGGGGAGUACGGUCGCAAGAUUAAAACUCAAGGAAUUGACGGGGGCCCGCACAGACGGUGGAGCAUGUGGAUAAUUCUAAACACGCCAUAAUCAUAACCUGACGUGAUAUUUGUGCCUACAAUCGGAAGACGGUGAGGUUCACUUCAG
rnacentral:rRNA from 1 species